AACGCAUAUUGCGCCCGCCAGUAUUCUGGCGGGCAUGCCUGUUCGAGCGUCAUUUCAACCCCCCCAAGCGCUGCUUGGUGUUGGGGCUCUAUAGCACUAUAGGCCCUGAAAUCUAGUGGCGGACUCGCUAGGACUCCGAGCGCAGUAUAUUUCUCGCUUUAGGGGGGUCUGGCGGGCUCUGGCCGUUAAGCAAACCCACUAUAGCAAAGGUUGACCUCGGAUCAGGUAGGAAUACCCGCUGAACUUAA
rnacentral:misc_RNA from 1 species